GACGAACCGUGCGAACGUUGUUCGGAAUCACUGGGCUUAAAGGGCGCGUAGGCGGGUUCGCAAGUCUGUGGUGAAAGCCUCCAGCUUUACUGGAGAAGUGCCAUGGAUACUGCGCAUCUUGAGGAGGGUAGGGGCGUCUGGAACGGUCGGUGGAGCGGUGAAAUGCGUUGAUAUCGACCGGAACUCCGGUGGCGAAGGCGAGGCGCUGGACCCUUUCUGACGCUGAGGCGCGAAAGCCAGGGGAGCAAACGGG
rnacentral:rRNA from 1 species